CAAUACUUGGGAAUUAGCAACUCUUCCAAAAUACCAUGAAGCAAUUGAAGUCAAAUGGGCUACAAGGCUAAAAAAAAUGCUAAUGGAGAGGUUGAAAAUACAAAGCAAGACUUGUUGCAAAAGGAUACAAACAAAAACAUAAAGUUGACUAUGGAGAAGUUUUUGCAUUAGUUGCUCGCAUGGAUACUAUUUGUUUGGUAAUCACUAUACAGCUCAAAAUAAGUGCAAACUUUAUCAACUUGAUGUAAAAUUGUCAUUUCUAAAUGGGUAUCUUAAAGAAAAAGGUCUAUGUUGAGCAGCCAAUGAGUUAUGCGAUUAAAGGACAUGAAGAUAAAAUUUGGAGAUUGGAGAGAGCGUUGUAUGGAUUAAAGGAAGCACCAAGAGCAUGAAAUAGUCGCAUCGACAAAUACUUCAAAGACAAUGGAUGAUCUUAUAUUCAUUGGGAACAAUCGAAGUUUAUUUGAAGAGUUCAAAAAAGUCACAACGCUUGAGUUCGAGAUGGCUGAUGUUGGGCUCAUAUCAUACUACUCAAGCUUAGAAGUAAAGAAAUUGGAAUAACGUAUAUUUAUUUCUCAAGAAAAUUAUGAGAAGGAAGUUUUGAAGAAAUUUAAAAUGUUUGAUUGCAAUUUGGUGAACACACCAAUGGAGAGGAUAUUGAAGUUGUCGAAGAUUGAAGAUAGACAAAAUGAUGACCCUUCUUUUUUCAAAAGCCUUGUUGGAAUCCUAAGAUACUUAACAUUUACAAAGUCUGAUAUUUUAUA